rnacentral:sRNA from 1 species
AUAGCCCCGAUUGCAACGGCAUCCUUUUUGGGUUUUGAAACCCAAAAAGAUACAGUGGAAAGCGGGAAACA